rnacentral:rRNA from 1 species
GCUUAUGGCCAUAUCAGCCUGGGUACGCGCCUGAUCUCGGAAGCUAAGCAGGGUCGGGCCUGGUUAGUACUUGGAUGGGAGACCGCCUGGGAAUACCAGGUGCUGUAAGCA